rnacentral:rRNA from 1 species
GACGAACGCUGGCGGCGUGCUUAACACAUGCAAGUCGAACGGAAAGGCCCUGCUUUUGUGGGGUGCUCGAGUGGCGAACGGGUGAGUAACACGUGAGUAACCUGCCCUUGACUUUGGGAUAACUUCAGGAAACUGGGGCUAAUACCGGAUAGGAGCUCCUGCUGCAUGGUGGGGGUUGGAAAGUUUCGGCGGUUGGGGAUGGACUCGCGGCUUAUCAGCUUGUUGGUGGGGUAGUGGCUUACCAAGGCUUUGACGGGUAGCCGGCCUGAGAGGGUGACCGGCCACAUUGGGACUGAGAUACGGCCCAGACUCCUACGGGAGGCAGCAGUGGGGAAUAUUGCACAAUGGGCGGAAGCCUGAUGCAGCAACGCCGCGUGCGGGACGACGGCCUUCGGGUUGUAAACCGCUUUCGCCUGUGGCGAAGCGUGAGUGACGGUAAUGGGUAAAGAAGCACCGGCUAACUACGUG